rnacentral:rRNA from 1 species
UGGGGAAUAUUGCACAAUGGGCGCAAGCCUGAUGCAGCCAUGCCGCGUGUGUGAAGAAGGCCUUCGGGUUGUAAAGCACUUUCAGUCGUGAGGAAGGUAGUGUAGUUAAUAGCUGCAUUAUUUGACGUUAGCGACAGAAGAAGCACCGGCUAACUCCGUGCCAGCAGCCGCGGUAAUACGGAGGGUGCGAGCGUUAAUCGGAAUUACUGGGCGUAAAGCGCAUGCAGGUGGUUUGUUAAGUCAGAUGUGAAAGCCCGGGGCUCAACCUCGGAAUUGCAUUUGAAACUGGCAGACUAGAGUACUGUAGAGGGGGGUAGAAUUUCAGGUGUAGCGGUGAAAUGCGUAGAGAUCUGAAGGAAUACCGGUGGCGAAGGCGGCCCCCUGGACAGAUACUGACACUCAGAUGCGAAAGCGUGGGGAGCAAACAGG